UACCAGCACCCCGAGUGGUCGGGACGUUUAUUGGGCCUAAAGCCUCCGUAGCCGGUUCUACGAGUCUUCCGUUAAAUCCAACUGCUUAACAGGUGGGCUGCGGAAGAUACUAUAGAGCUAGGAGGCGGGAGAGGCAAGCGGUACUCGAUGGGUAGGGGUAAAAUCCGUUGAUCCAUUGAAGACCACCAGUGGCGAAGGCGGCUUGCCAGAACGCGCUCGACGGUGAGGGAUGAAAGCUGGGGGAUCAAACCGG
rnacentral:rRNA from 1 species